UACGUAGGUGGCGAACGUUGUCCGGAUUUACUGGGCGUAAAGCGCGCGCAGGCGGACCGAUAAGUCAGAGGUGAAAUCUCCCGGCUCAACUGGGAGGGGCCCUUUGAUACUGUCGGUCUUGAGAUGCCUAGAGGAGAGUGGAAUUCCCGGUGUAGUGGUGGAAUGCGUAGAUAUCGGGAGGAACACCAGUGGCGAAAGCGGCUCUCUGGGGGCGAUCUGACGCUGAGGCGCGAAAGCGUGGGGAGCAAACCGGAUUAGAUACCCGGGUAGUCCACGCCGUAAACGAUGAGUACUAGCUGUAUGGGGUAUCGACUCCCUGUGUAGCGAAGCUAACGCGAUAAGUACUCCGCCUGGGGACUACGACCGCAAGGUUAAA
rnacentral:rRNA from 1 species